UACGUAGGGUGCGAGCGUUGUCCGGAAUUACUGGGCGUAAAGAGCUCGUAGGCGGUCCGUCGCGUCUGCUGUGAAAUCCCGAGGCUCAACCUCGGGCUUGCAGUGGGUACGGGCAGGCUAGAGUGCGGUAGGGGAGAAUGGAACUCCUGGUGUAGCGGUGGAAUGCGCAGAUAUCAGGAAGAACACCGAUGGCGAAGGCAGUUCUCUGGGCCGUAACUGACGCUGAGGAGCGAAAGCGUGGGGAGCGAACAGG
rnacentral:rRNA from 1 species